ACGAAUGCUAGCGGCGUGCUUAAGGUAUGCAAGUCGAACGGAUCCACUUCGGUGGAUGAGUGGCGAACGGCUGAGUAAUACGCAGGAACCUACCCCAAUCUCGGGGAUAACUUACCGAAAGGUGAGCUAAUACCCGAUGUGGAGGAAACUCUAAAGAUUUUUCGGAUUGGGAUGGGCCUGCGGCCUAUCAGCUAGUUGGUGAGGUAAAGGCUCACCAAGGCUAUGACGGGUAUCGGGACUGAGAGGUUGUACCGGCAGAGGGGCACUGAGACACGGGCCUCACUCCUACGGGAGGCAGCAAUCGGGAAUCUUGCGCAAUGGGCGAAAGCCUGACGCAGCGACGCCGCGUGAAGGAUGAAGGCCUUCGGGUUGUAAACUUCUGAAAAUAGCACCGGCUAACUACGU
rnacentral:rRNA from 1 species